UUUUAUGUAGGAUGCUAUUCACGAAUAGACUGAGGUCAAAAUGAACCAAUGCGAAAAUGAAGAAAAGCUAUUAGAGGUGCAUUUGUUUUUGUUUGACAUGGGUUCUUUCAAGCUUAGUUCCCAUUUAUUUGUUUAAUUUUUUUUAAGUAAUUCUAUAUCGAGAAAAGUGUUUGACGCGUUGCAGCUGUUCGAUUCAGGAUGGUAUUUCUUGCGUUAAGGAACAGAAUAAAAAAAAAAGAUAAUAUAGUUCGAAUCACAAACGAAUAACGGUAGCAAGUCCAACUGAGAACUAUAUUACUUUAUCAUAAUAUUUUGCGGCUUCAGUUUCAAAGUUUAAUGUUGAAACAGAACAGCGCGUAGUAAUGUAUUUUUAAGCUAUUGCAUAGCUUUUAUCGCGGGCCUUGAGCGCUGCGACUGAAUCAAGAAAUUCCGUAACGAAAAUAACCUGACACCCCCACUACGCCUACUAUGUAGGUCGCGUUCAACACAUUCACACGUUGCGCUUGUGUAGUGUUUGUGAAUAAGCGCGUGGCGUGACGUCGCAUUGCCGCAUGCACAUCAUAAAAGGUCUGCCCAUCUCUCCCUCGCGCGGUCAAGGUUAUGAGUGUGAAGGGGACAGUUAAUGUUUUGCUUUUGUUAAUGUUUAUAAAUAUAGCGUGAUCUUAUUUUA